GGGUCUGUCGUUCAAUGGUAGGCCUGCGGUCUCCAAAACCGCCAAUGAAGGUUCGAUACCUUCCGGACCCGCCA
rnacentral:tRNA from 1 species